GAGAGGCUUUGUGGGGCAGCAGUUUCUGCCUCUGUGGGUACCACGGUGGCUGUAUGUUUGUUUCUUCUGCACAGGGAGAUAGUGAGAUUUAGAAUGCACUUUCUGUUUUGGGAGAAAAGUAUUUUGUCUGUGAAGAUAUUUAUGCCUCAAGAAAAUCAUGGUCUGGCUGGAAGGUGCCAAUGAAGUUUGGUAAGAGGGCAUCAAGGCCAGAACCAAAGAUCUGUGACCCCAGAGGAAGGAGAAGGCAUUAAAAUGGGUCAGCUGUGUCCCUGCACUCGGAUAAAAGUUCUCAAAUUGUGAAGCAGACUCUUACAGCCAGCAACAGAGGCUAACAAAGAAAAAUGCUGGAGGAGAGAAAAGAUGGAAGAGUUUACUUCCUCCCCCUUGGAAUAAGGGCUAUGGAAGGGAUGAGGAGAUGUCAGUGUGCGAUCCUGAACUGGCUGGGGAUGAGCACAGGACAUGGCUGUCGUGUCUCUCUGAAGGAGCUGUCACCUUGAGUUAGGCUGCUGGGCCAUGGCACAGUGCCACCCACACUUGGGUGUACUCUGAAGUGAGCAGAAGUGGUUCAACUUCCCAGGCACACCAGCUUGGAUAAUGUCAAGGAGAGGGGGGAAAAAGGCUUCUGAUGGUUUUAAAAAGUCCUUUAAAAUUCAACUUGUGCAGGUGGGGAUGCAAUCAAGUUUUCUCCCUUCUUGCCCGGAGGCAGCUGAGGGAGAGGGAGCACAUGCCCAGUGCCUCCAGUGACCUGGGGAGAAGCUGCGACCACUGAGCCCACACAGCCCAGCUUCCCUACCUGUGGGGUUGGGGGGACUCCUCUUUGUGUUCAUGGGACAAAAUUUUGGCCCCAAGAGUUUCACAGCCUGCAGUUGAAUGUCUGGCACAAGGAGGUCCUUCAUUUUUGUCUAUUAUUCCAGACAUAAUUGGUAAUCAACUAAAAUCCAUAAUAGAAAUGUUGUCAUGAUGAUGACUUGUCUGAGCUGAACUGGGCAUGUUCUCCCUUUGCAGGUGGAUAGAAGGUUACAGGCUUUUAAAUUUUUAUUUUAAA